rnacentral:piRNA from 1 species
UGAUGAAAUGAUACAAAGAUCUUUUAAUGC